CAGCAGCCGCGGUAAUGCGAAGGGGGCUAGCGUUGCUCGGAAUGACUGGGCGUAAAGGGCGCGUAGGCGGAUGGCACAGUCAGAUGUGAAAUUCCCGGGCUUAACCUGGGGGCUGCAUUUGAUACGUGUUGUCUAGAGUGAGGAAGAGGGUCGUGGAAUUCCCAGUGUAGAGGUGAAAUUCGUAGAUAUUGGGAAGAACACCGGUGGCGAAGGCGGCGACCUGGUCCUUUACUGACGCUGAGGCGCGAAAGCGUGGGGAGCAAACAGGAUUAGAUACCCCCGUAGUCCCUGUCUCUUAUAC
rnacentral:rRNA from 1 species